AUGGCCUGGACUGUGCUUCUCCUCACCCUCCUCACUCAGGCCACAGGUUCCUGGGCCCAGUCAGCUCUGACCCAGCCUUCCUCAGUGUCUGGGGCUCUGGGACAGUCAGUCACCAUCUCCUGUGCUGGGACCAGCAAUGACAUUGGGCAAUAUAACGAUGUAUCCUGGUACCAGCAGCUCCCUGGCAAGACACCCAAGCUCCUGAUUUAUGUUGUCAGUUACCGGCCCUCAGGGAUCCCUGAUCGCUUCUCUGGCUCCAAGUCAGGCAACACGGCCACUUUGACCAUCUCUGGUCUCAAGCCUGAGGAUGAGGCUGAGUAUUACUGUAGCUCAUUCAGGAGUGGUUAUACUUACCACAGUGGUCUGGUCGGUGUCACACAUCAGUGGCUCAUCAAUAGCCGCAUCAUAGCACAUGGGGAUGGGCCGCGGCUCCUGGACACAGAAUAA